AUAAGCCACAUCGUUAUUAACGCUGUAUAAAAGGACGGACUGAUGCUUCAUUCUGGCAUACAUUUUCGUGCAAUUAUAAACUUCUAUUUCACUCUAAUCCUCAAAAAACCAACCAAAAAUCAAAAAUGGGUGCCGAAAAAGUAACCAUGAACAUCGUCGUCGUCGGACAAGUCCAAUCUGCCAAGGCCAUCAAAUCGGUCGCCAAAGUCACCCCAGCCACCAGCCAAUUGAUGAACUGUUAAUUCAUGAAUUUCACAUCAAUCUCAAACUCAAAAAUGCCGUAGCCCAAACAGUACAUAAUUUAUAAUGUGUUUCUAAUUAUGAAAUUAUGUAUUGACAUUGCAAAAUAAAUCAGUCGCUUCCGUCUAAUAA